rnacentral:rRNA from 1 species
CGUACGGGUGAGUAACGCGUGAGGAUCUGCCCUUAGGACGGGGACAACAGCUGGAAACGGCUGCUAAUACCCGAUGUGCCGAGAGGUGAAACUAUUUGGCCUGAGGAUGAGCUCGCGUCUGAUUAGCUAGUUGGAGUGGUAACGGCACACCAAGGCGACGAUCAGUAGCUGGUCUGAGAGGAUGAUCAGCCACACUGGGACUGAGACACGGCCCAGACUCCUACGGGAGGCAGCAGUGGGGAAUUUUCCGCAAUGGGCGAAAGCCUGACGGAGCAAGACCGCGUGCGGGAGGAAGGUCUAUUGAUUGUAAACCGCUUUUGAUAGGGAAGAAGAUCUGACGGUACCUAUCGAAUCAGCAUCGGCUAACUCCGUGCCAGCAGCCGCGGUAAUACGGGGGAUGCAAGCGUUAUCCGGAAUUAUUGGGCGUAAAGCGUCCGUAGGUGGUUUUAAAAGUCUGUUGUCAAAUCGCGAGGCUUAACCUCGUACAGGCAGUGGAAACU